rnacentral:hammerhead_ribozyme from 1 species
AUCCAGCUGACGAGUCCUAAAUAGGGAAAAACGCGCGUCCUGGAU